rnacentral:lncRNA from 1 species
AGCAUUUGCAGUUGGCAUUUGGACUAUGAUUCUUAUUUUCUUGGAAACAUGUUCUUUCUCCUCAUUUAUUUAAUGAAGAUCCAUGGUUUGUUGAUCAUGGCUUGUCGUUAUGCACAUAUUUUUCUUGUCUAACUUCAUUCUUCCAUCCAUUUUUUCAAUACCUAGCACUGCAGCUAGGGAUACGAUCCUUACUAGCAUAAAAAGACCUGAUCCCUGUUCUGAUUGAAUUAAAUUCUAAAAAAUCACCCACAUAAAGAUUAAUUUACAACUGUUCUCUGAAGGACAGACAGCAUGGUUUUUAUGAGAGCAUAUAAUGGUAAUAAGGGACAUCUUACGUAUGGAAAAGAUGACUGUCAUGUAUAACUACUUAAAACAAAAAAUUAAUACAAAAAGAUGCCUGAGAUAAAAUGUUAAGGAUGAUUAUAGUUAAUUAGGACACAGGAUGAAUGUGAUAAUUCUGGAAUAAUGGAGUAUACAAAGGCCCUGUGGCAGGAGAGAACAUAUUUGAAGGAUUAAGCAACUGAAGUUUACAUGGUGAGGGCAAAUGCUGUGGAAGUUUCCCUGUUCAAAUGAAUUCUUUGCAAAAAUUACUGAUGUAACGUGGACUUGGCAACCCUAAACAAGCAAGAUCUUUUGGGUUUUCCAGUGUGAGAUUUAUAUCCUAAAAUAUAUCAAAUGAAUUUAGGAAAUAUCAUAAAUACCCAACUUCAACUGAGGCAUAGGGUAGAAAGGCAAUAAAUGUUAGUUGUAUACAGUAAAUGAUGACUUCAUAGCAUGUACUGCUAAUAGCAUUUUCUUCCUAUUAGAAAUAGCUUGCCAGUCAAUAGAAGAAAGUUCAAUGAGCACUGCUCUUAAAAUAAAUAUUGCUUUUAUUUUCAGUGAAGUGAAACCAUCACCUUUGUCUUGCUCUUAUAUUUCCAAUUGCUAUGAAAAUAAAUCUGCCUAGGAGUGCAUCAAGCAGCCAUUGUGUAGCUCUAAAUUCAAGGUACUGUCAACCUGGCUCAUCUAUGAAGGACAUUUGGUUAUUCACCUUCAGAACAUUCAUUGCCUAGGACUGUGAGAUGUGCCUACCAAAUUGCAUAAUUUUUACGGAAUA